GGGAAAUGGAAAAGUAUGUGCGUUUUUUAAUAUUUUAUGUAGUUUUUAACAUUAAUCGGACUAAACUUUUGUAUUCUUAACUUGUGUAAAGUUCGUAUGAUACGUGUCCUUAAAAAUACGCCCGUUUUGUUCAUUAUUAUUAAUAAAUUCGUCAUAAUAAUUUUCUUUAGGUAUCGGUCCGACUACUUGCCCCUUUUAUAUUAUUCUUACAAGUAAAACUUUGAUAUUUAAUAGAAUAAAAAAACUUUACCUAAUAGGUUAGGUUAAAGAGGUUUGGUAUGGGUGUUAUAACCCUUUACCUCCUCUAACUCUACCCCUAAUAUAAGAAUAAAUGAUUGGUUUUCAUUUGAAGAUGAACGAUAUAAUGACAUUAGAGAGCUAGUAAAUCAAUAAGUUAGUUAGGUUUUUCUUAGAUUCCAUGAAAACCGCAUAGAAAAUUUAAUAGAAUCCUCAAUAACUACCAUAUGAACAAUAUUUCCAUUCAGCAAAGGUGCUAUGCGAAUACAUCAGAGCAGGAUUUCAAGAAGAAUUUUUGUAUGUAGAACAAAAAAAUAAAUAAAAAAUAUCGUUGUAAAUAAAUAAUUUCCAAAUUGAAAGCAAAAAUUCAUUUUCUAAAUUCUGAGUGGAUGAGUCUUUUUCUACUACAAAAAUUAUGAAAAAAGCACAACUAUUAUCAUUCAAAUUAAUCAAAAGCAUAAUAUAUCAUUAAAAACUUAUACAACAGUUUAGUUACAGUCAUAAGUAUACAAUAGACAAAUACUAUCCUGAAUCAUGAAAUCCACACACAGUGCCAGUAUAUUCGUAUUAUAUUAACUAGAUGCACAGAAAAACAAGAAAAAUAUAAAAUAAGCUACGAUAUUCAAAAUUAUAUUAAAUUUUUUUCUAUCUAGGGCGAGAAUCUAGUAAGCAAAAAGGUAAGUAUUAUUUUUGAUUUAAUAAGGUUGUACAGUACUAGAAAGGAAAUUAUGUAACUAAUUAAAACUAUAUGCAGGGUGAGUUAAUAAGCCUGUUAAAUGGGUACAAAUCUCGAAAUAUUUUAUUUUCUACGAUGAGCUCAAAAUGGUUUAAGUUUUUUAUUAUAUUUUUAUUUUAUUAUUUUAAUGAAAAUUAUAAAUAAUUAGGGUUAUUAAAGAGCAAUUGAAUUUCAAGGAAAAUAUAAAAAUUAAUUCAAAAAUCUUAACAAUUUCUCGAAUUAUUCUAACAUUCUACCAUUUUUAGUAAAGUAAAUAUACAUUUUCUGUCAACAUUUUUAAUUUCUACGAAUAUUUUUACUGAAAUGCAACUAUACAAUAAUUACAUUACGUAGUUUAAAAAAAAUAAAAAUAAAACAUCAUAGUAAAUCAAUAUAUUCCCAUAACUCUCAAAAUCUCAUUAUUUUAAACUCGGUGUGGAAUGUGUCAUUUUGUACAAUAAAAAUAAUGAACUGCACACAGUUAUUAGCAUAUAUGUUAUUAUCAAAUGCAUAUUAUAUCAAUGAAACUAAAACUGCAGUAUUGCCAACAAUAUACUCGACUGAAAUACUAUUAUAAAUCGUUGUAUAUAAAAACAGAAACAAUGUAUUUUCAUUGAAUUAGUUGCAUAGAUAAAUAAGUAAAAUAUAAAAUAAGCUGUGAUAUCUAAAUUUUUUUUUCUAGCGCCACAAACUAGUGGGACACAGGGUAAUUGAUUAUUUGUUUUUUAAUAUAUUAUGUAGUAUUAAAAAGAAAUUAUAUAACUAAUUAAAACUAUAUACAGGGUGAGUUAAUAAGCCUGUAAAAAUGGGUGCAAAUCACGCAAUAUUUUAAUUUCUACGAUAAGCUCAAAAAGGGUUUAAGUUUUUUAUUUUAUUUUUAUUUUUUUAUUUUAAUGUAAAUAAUAAAUGCUUAGGGUUAAUAAAACCAUUGAAUUUCAACCAAAUAAUGAAAAUUAAUUCAAAAAUCUUAAAAAUUACUCGAAUUAUUUUAACAUUCUACCAUUUUUAGUAAAGUAAAUAUACAUUUUCUGUCACCAUUUUUAAUUUCUACGAAUAUUUUUAAUGAAAUGCAACUAUACAAUAAUUACAUUACGUAGUUUAAAAAAAAUAAAAAAUAAAAUAUCAUAGUAAAUCAAUAUAUUCCCAUUACCCUAAGAAUCUUAUUAUUUUAGACUCUGUGUAGAAUGUGUCAUUUAGUACAAUUAAAAUAAUGAACUGCACACAGUUAUUAGCAUAUAUGUUAUUAUCAAAUGCAUAUUAUAUCAAUGAAUCUAAAACUGCAAUAUUGCCAACACUAUACUCGACUGUAAUACUAUUAUAAAUCGUUGUAUAUAAAAACAGAAACAAUAUAUUUUGUAUUAAAUUAAUUAUUUGUAUUAACUACAAUAUUUUGUGGUGGAUUUGCACCGUAGUUUAUAUUUUCAAACAUUGUUAUUUUAUCAGAUUACGUGUACCCACUUAAAAUAAGUUUGUUUAUAUAAACUUACCAUACAUCCGAGGUCGUUUUUUGCAUAAUAAACAUUUACACAAAAAAAGAAUGACUGAUUGUCAUGUUAAAGCACUUUACGCUUUUGAUUUGCAUGCUUUUGCUUGUUCGGUGAACAAUUCGUAACUUGCCAGUAUAUAUGUAUUAAAUUGAUAAGCUGUAUAGAUAAUAAACAAAAUGUAUAGUUAGUUGGGCUAUUCAAAAGUAAAGCAAUUUAUUUUUCUAUUAGGACCUAAUACGGCACAACGUAAGUGAUUUUUUUUUUUAAUUAUUCUAUGCAGUUAUAAAAACAAAAUAAAUAACUAAAUAAUACCUUAGACGAGGGUAUUCACUCUCGAAAACGGCGUGUUUUAUGCCUACUAAUCUCGCUAAAUUAAAUGUCGAUUAUUAGGUAACAAAUAAGUUAUUAUAUUUUUUUUUUUUUAACUUUACUACAUUUAGAAUAGGUUAAUAUAAAUUUUUUUCUGAAUUUCGUGUUCAUAAUAUCGAUAUGGAUAUUUUUAAUUGAAUUCCAACAAAUUAUUUUUAAAAAUGGCUUUUAUAAGGCUUAUAAAAAGGCAAUUAUAAGGUUUCUUUCUAAAUUUCUUAUAUAUACGAAUAUUUUUAACUGGAUUACAACUAAUAAUAAAAAUUGAAAAAAUAAUAAAAGCACAAAGGGAGUUCUAUUGAAGUUAUGAGUUUAAACCACCAAUGACGCAAGAGACGGAGGAGCACCACCACUUCAACAAUUACCCGUUCAGUCAUUCCUAUAUUGUACUUAUAGCUGAUAAAUACAGCUGAAUCUUAAUCCGGGUUUGGUGUCGCAACGACACUACAUAAUACUACGAUUAUAAAAUGAUACCGAGUUU
rnacentral:lncRNA from 1 species